AACUUUCGACAACGGAUCUCUUGGCUCUGGCAUCGAUGAAGAACGCAGCGAAAUGCGAGACGUAAUGCGAAUUGCAGAUCAACGCGAGUCAUUGAAUCUUUGAACGCACAUUGCGCCCCCUGGUAUUCCGGGGGGCACGCCCGUCCGAGUGUCAUUUCUACCUCGAGCUUUAGGCUUGUUGUUGGGUACCGCCCGUGAGGGCGCACCUCAAAUCUAUUGGCGCCUCCGAGGGGCCCCCAAACGCAUAGAGCUCAACCGCCCGCGUUUGGAGGCCUGAUUGGGGGCGGCCUCCUUGCCUACGUGCAGCUUCCUAGUGUAUGGCCUCGGAUCGGGCGGGGUUACCCGCUGAACUUAAGCAUAUCAAUAAGCGGAGGCU
rnacentral:misc_RNA from 1 species